rnacentral:lncRNA from 1 species
GUGAAAAAAACGCCAAAGAGCAAGGAUAGAGAUGAAAGAGCAGUGAGGAUACACAGAGGAUAGAACAGCAGAAGAGAAGCAGAAGAGAAAAAACAGGAAAAGAGUGAGAAUGCAGACGGAAAAGCAGGGAGAAUACAGGGAAGAACCAAGAGCCUAAGAGAAGUGCAAAUGCAAAAGCAAGCGAGGCUACAGGGAAGAAAGGACAGCAGAAGGGGAGUGCAGGUGCAGAUCCCCCAAACACAGCACUCCCUGCCCGCUAGGGUUGCGGGUGCGACGCAGUCACCACAAUGACGUCGAGGAUCAAUGCCGGGUAAUUCAGUGAGCGUUCCAACAAAGAAUCAAGGAAAAAACUGCCAGGCAAAGGAAAGAAACCUUCUGGCAACAGGUCUUUAACGUUACGCGUAGAGUCCUUUGGAACAGGAGUUGUUUCUGUGUCAACAACUUGAAGAUCAAUUCAGGCAACGGCUACUAAAGAAAAACGAGUCACAUAACAUGGAGAGCAAAGAAGAGAAGAGAGAGGAAACAGAGAGGUGCCAGCACUGCCACCCGGGGUGGGCAGCAGGCUGCUGGUGCCAGCGUCAUCAUGGGCGGCGGCCAGCACUGGCCACGCUGUCACCGCGUCGCCGUGGCGACGUUUGUGACACGGCCACCCGGGAGGGGUAUGAAGGCGGUGCACGCUGGUGGGUCCUGCAUCCUGAAGGAGCAUCUGGUAGAGAGCAGACGCACCUGAAGGGAUGAGCUCCGGCAUGGCUGGCGCCAACAAGGAGCAACCCGCUGGCACGAGGCGGAACAGGAUGAGCUUCUGCGAGGAUGGCCCCGCAGCGAGGCGUGCCUCCAUACCCACCUGCACCGACACCGAAGGUACAUGGCUCCACAGCCACCACAGGAGCGCUGCUGCAGCCAAUCCUGGCACGCAGACGACACUUUCCAUCUGCCACCUCACUCCCGCCUGGCAGCGGGAGGGCUGCCGGGAAGCGGCAGGUGCAGAGUGUGACCUGCUUUUCCUUUGCCCUCCAGAGCGAGUUGCCGUCUGGGAUGCGGUGGCCGCCUACGUACAAGAGCACCUCCUGGUGCAG